UACAGAGGGUGCGAGCGUUGUUCGGAAUUACUGGGCGUAAAGCGCGCGUAGGUGGUGUGUUAAGUCUGCCGGUCAAAUGCCGAGGCUCAACCUCGUUGCACGCCGGGGAUACUGGCACGCUAGAGACAAGUAGAGGCAAGCGGAAUUCCGGGUGUAGCGGUGGAAUGCGUAGAGAUCCGGAAGAACACCGACGGCGAAGGCAGCGCCCUUGACGAGACCUGACGCUCAGGCACGAAAGCUGGGGGAGCAAACAGG
rnacentral:rRNA from 1 species